rnacentral:lncRNA from 13 species
UAACCACCAGUCGCAUGUCGAGCACUUGAAAUGUGGCCAGUCGGAAUCAAGAUGACUUAUAGUACAAAAUACACAAUGGAUUCCGAAGACAUUGCUGUAUUUUGAUAAAUGUAGCUGGACCAAUGAGCAGUAAACAGCAUUGGGAGUGUGUGAGCCAACAGGUUUCCCUAGAAGCAGACCCACAGAAAGGAGCUCUGCAUGCUGAGGAAGAACUGAAAACAGCUGAAAGGGAGAAACGACACAGCCCAAACUAGCCUGAAAGGUGGUCAAAACCCACAGACCAAGCAUCAACUAAUUGGGCAGAUAAAAAAUGUUCCAAAUCAUCCAUCA